CUUGUCAAUGAUGUUUUAUCACUGUUAUUCGAGUUUCACUGACCAUGAGAAUACCUCACAUGCACUACCAUCUGAGACAUC
rnacentral:snoRNA from 1 species